rnacentral:SRP_RNA from 2 species
UGUUAGGUCUUACGCAACAGGAAGCUGUGAAUCAUGUCAGGACGGGAACGUAGCAGCAUUAAGCAGUCCUUUCUGUGUGCCGUAAGGUCACCUAACAUGAG